rnacentral:rRNA from 1 species
GAUGAACGCUGGCGGCGUGCCUAAUACAUGCAAGUCGAGCGAAUGGAUUAAGAGCUUGCUCUUAUGAAGUUAGCGGCGGACGGGUGAGUAACACGUGGGUAACCUGCCCAUAAGACUGGGAUAACUCCGGGAAACCGGGGCUAAUACCGGAUAACAUUUUGAACCGCAUGGUUCGAAAUUGAAAGGCGGCUUCGGCUGUCACUUAUGGAUGGACCCGCGUCGCAUUAGCUAGUUGGUGAGGUAACGGCUCACCAAGGCAACGAUGCGUAGCCCACCAUAGAAUGUGAACGGCCAAACUAGUACUGAGACACGGACCAGACUGCUACGGGAGGCAGCAGUAGGGAAUCUUCCGCAAUGGUCGAAAGUCGGCCGGAGCAACGCCGUGUGAGUGAUGAAGGCUUUCGGGUCGUAAAACUCUGUUGUUAGGGAAGAACAAGUGCUAGUUGAAUAAGCUGGCACCUUGACGGUACCUAACCAGAAAGCCACGGCUAACUACGUGCCAGCCGCCGCAGUAA